GGCAGACGGGUGAGUAACAUGUGGGUAUCUGCCCUUUGGCCUGGAAUAACACGAGGAAACUUGUGCUAAUACUGGAUAAGUCUUUACGGAGAAAGCUUUAUGCACCAUUGGAUGAGCCUGCACUUGAUUAGUUUGUUGGUGGGGUAAUGGCCUACCAAGACUGUGAUCAAUAGCUGAUUUGAGAGGAUGAUCAGCCACAUUGGGACUGAGACACGGCCCAAACUCCUACGGGAGGCAGCAGUGGGGAAUCUUGCACAAUGGAGGAAACUCUGAUGCAGCGAUGCCGCGUGAGUGAAGAAGGCCCUUGGGUUGUAAAGCUCUUUCGUCGGGGAAGAAAAUGACUGUACCCGAAUAAGAGGGUCCGGCUAACUUCGUGCCAGCAGCCGCGGUAAUACGAAGGGACCUAGCGUAGUUCGGAAUUACUGGGCUUAAAGAGUUCGUAGGUGGUUGAAAAAGUUGGUGGUGAAAUCCCAGAGCUUAACUCUGGAACUGCCAUCAAAACUUUUCAGCUAGAGUAUGAUAGAGGAAAGCAGAAUUUCUAGUGUAGAGGUGAAAUUCGUAGAUAUUAGAAAGAAUACCAAUUGCGAAGGCAGCUUUCUGGAUCAUUACUGACACUGAGGAACGAAAGCAUGGGUAGCGAAGAGGAUU
rnacentral:rRNA from 1 species